AAUGUUUUAGUGAGGUCUUCGGACUGGCGCGCGGAGCUCUUUCGGGAGCGCCGAUGUCGUCGGAAAGAUGACCAAACUUGAAUAUUUAGAGGAAGUAAAAGUCGUAACAAGGUUGCUGUAGGUGAACCUGCAGCAGGAUCAUUA
rnacentral:rRNA from 1 species